UACGAAGGGGGCAAGCGUUGUUCGGAUUCAUUGGGCGUAAAGGGUGCGUAGGCGGCGCGGUAAGUCGGGUGUGAAAUCUCGGAGCUUAACUCCGAAACUGCAUUCGAUACUGCCGUGCUUGAGGACUGGAGAGGAGACUGGAAUUUACGGUGUAGCGGUGAAAUGCGUAGAUAUCGUAAGGAAGACCAGUGGCGAAGGCGGGGUCUCUGGACAGUUCCUGACGCUGAGGCACGAAGGCCAGGGGAGCAAACGGG
rnacentral:rRNA from 1 species